rnacentral:lncRNA from 1 species
UUAUGACUUAUGACGGAGCUCGCAUUCUUGCCAUGUUACUUCAGUGGUUGUUUCUUUCUCCCGGAUGGUGGUCUGUAUUUUUCUUUUGUUAGCAGUGAUUUUGCCUUCAACUUCGCUCUCAGCUAGUGAUGCAUGUAAUUCUCAAUUCUCAAACUCUUUCCCUUUACUUCCUUCUUAAUAAACUAGACGAUGCCUCACGCGUUGUUGCGGAACCGAACGUGUUAAAUCGAAUGCAUAAAUAAAUGCUUAAUUUUUUUCGGACAAAAUAGAUGCUUGAAUUUAACGAAAGCUAAUGAAAAACAUAUCUAAAUGUCAUUGUUUUAAGUUAAAAACAAUAAGACCUAAGACUAUGUGACAAAAUGAAAUACAGAAGGAGAGAAACUUUACCAAAAAAAUAAAAUAUGAUUGAGUUGAUGAGACGACAUGGUUUGAACUAAUAGAUCGAUGAAAAAAGGUAACUAGUGAAUACAUGAAAAAAGGACAUGCAUGAUACUUAAUGAAAUGGCAUGCAUGGUGGGCUUGAUAAGGUGAAAAAACAUAUAGUACAUGGGUGCUCCUAUUUAGAUAUAAAAGAUUCCUAAUGCAUGCUUUGAGAAGAAAGAAGAAAAAAAAAACUAUAAUGUCUCUCAAGGGGCAACAAUUAAUGAAAGACCGAGAUAGACCUACAAGAGCCAAGUACACAGAACUUCUUUGGCUAUUUUUAAGGGAGUGUCUUUUUCUCGUUCGCUUAAAAAAUAGUUAUUUCUUAGUUAACAAUCGUAGUCAUCCAAUGAAGAUUUUCUUAUUCAUCAGACCUACAUUAAUCUUACGCAAAUCUCAAUGAUUGAAUCAAAAGAUUGUUAUCAUCGAUUAAAAAUAGUUAUUUCUCUAAGAAAUAGCAAAACCGUAUUUUUAUUUACA